GCGGUCGUGGCGGAAUGGCAGACGCGCUACCUUGAGGUGGUAGUGAGGCAUCCUCGUGGGGGUUCAAGUCCCCCCGACCGCACCA
rnacentral:tRNA from 1 species